AAGCACACACAGGAAACAUUGUCAUUGCUUAGUUUUGGAACAGUGAGCCAUUGACUGCACCAGGUGGCUGUGUUAUGAGUGGCUCGCAUUCGACAAUAAGGCAGCGGACUACCGAGAUAUAUUUUUGAAUUUAGAAGACCAAGAGACGGAAGUAGGUAGGCAAGAAGGAGUCGACCGGGCUUGACCAGAAAAUCAUGUUUUGUCAUCUGAUCUCUUGGAACUUGAUGGCGAUCGAUAUGCAACUAUACUACAAGGCAGGACAUUUCUCUGCAUCCAGCUUGAGGCUUGCUACCGGCAGGAGCAUGGAGCACACCAACAGUGUGUCUGCUGUGCUAUGGAACUUUAGAGCAGCACAUCAGAAAACAUGCCACUCUGUUGCCAUCUAUCUGCAGACUGUUCCCUGAGGAAGAAUGCAACCAUCAAGGCUUUCAAAAGCCACAUUUUGGGGAUGACCAAAUGCAAUAAAGUUUUGUAUAAACA